rnacentral:rRNA from 1 species
UGGGGGAUAUUGCACAAUGGGCGAAAGCCUGAUGCAGCGACGCCGCGUGGGGGAUGAAGGCUUUCGGGUUGUAAACCUCUUUCGCUAUCGAACAAGGCCCGCUUAGGGUGGGUUGAGGGUAGGUGGAUAAGAAGCGCCGGCUAACUACGUGCCAGCAGCCGCGGUAAUACGUAGGGCGCGAGCGUUGUCCGGAAUUAUGGGGCGUAUAGGGUUUGUAGGCGGCUUGUUGCGCCUGCUGUGAAAACGCGGGGCUUAACUUCGGGCGUGCAGUGGGUACGGGCAGGCUUGAGUGUGGUAGGGGUGACUGGAAUUCCAGGUGUAGCGGUGGAAUGCGCAGAUAUCUGGAGGAACAACGAUGGCGAAGGCAGGUCACUGGGCCAUUACUGACGAUGAGGAGCAAAAGCAUGGGUAGCGAACAGG